CCUACGGGUGGCAGCAGUGAGGAAUAUUGGUCAAUGGUCGGGAGACUGAACCAGCCAAGCCGCGUGAGGGAUGAAGGUACAGAGUAUCGUAAACCUCUUUUGUCAGGGAACAAAUGCGGGGACGUGUCCCCGGAUGAGUGUACCUGAAGAAAAAGCAUAGGCAAACUCCGUGCCAGCAGCCGCGGUAAUACGUAGGGGGCAAGCGUUAGCCGGAUUUACGGGGUGUAAAGGGAGCGCAGGCGGCGUGGCAAGUCAGAUGUGAAAACCCGGGGCCCAACCCCGGGAGUGCAUUUGAAACUGCCAUGCUGGAGUGCCGGAGAGGUAAGCGGAAUUCCUAGUGUAGCGGUGAAAUGCGUAGAUAUUAGGAGGAACACCAGUGGCGGAGGCGGCUUACUGGACGGUAACUGACGCUGAGGCUCGAAAGCGUGGGGAGCAAACAGGAUUAGAUACCCUGGUAGUC
rnacentral:rRNA from 1 species